UUUUAACUUUUAACGCCGUCGCAAUUUGUCUAUCCUCCGUUGCUCAUUCAUUGCAUCUUAUCAUCUUCUACCACCAUACGCCGCCACCACGCGCUUUCUCUCUCUAUAAUUUCCUUCGCAAUCUUCACCGGUAAGCCUUUCCAAUUCUGAUUUAGCACACGGUAGAGGAUAGAUUGAAGAGAUCGCGCGCUGAUUGUUUUUUAGGGUUCUGUAUCCGUUUUCCGAUUUUGUUUGAUUCUAUUGUCCUUCAGUUUUCUUCUGAGUCGGGAAGUAGAAAGGAGGAAUUCGUUUGGUUGUGCGUUGUCUGAUUUGCUAUUUUCUAGUUCCCGCUGCAUCGAAUCCUAAUUUCGAAUUCCGAUUGCGGAAUCUGAGGAGAGGGAACAUUGGAUCGAUUUGCUUCGUGCAAAUUAGGUUUUUGUUUCCUUGCUCAAUUUGAAGAAAUUUGGAUAGAUCGGGCCUGGGUGAAUCGGGGAAAAUUAGUUUACAAACUCAAUUUUAGGGGACUUCUGUCAGGUCUAGGUUCUUUUUUUUUUGUGCAUUCUAGCGGAUUCUUAAUCAGAAUCAUGGCCGCUGGAAGGCACGGGGGUUAUAGAGACAAUGAAUUCAGAGACCGUGAGACAGAUUAUGGAACAACGAGGAAGGAAAUUGGCUCUUUAAAUGGAGAAUAUGAGCGGGGCAGGAAAGGUAGUCGAGAUUUUGAUAGGGGUCAGAUCCGUGGUCGAGACAGUCUCGAGUAUCGAGAUAGGGUCAGGCGAAGAGGUGUUGGAGAAAGGGAGAUGAGGAAUGGUGGACAUCGCUCUACUUCUAGCAGGAGUGAUUCAGGAAGUAGUGGUGGCGGGCCUAGGAGGUGUGGGUAUGCAGUUCGCCCUGUGGAUCGAGAGCCCGGGGAACUGUCUAGUGAUGGAUCUGAUGGUGCUACUGAGGCUGAAAUUCAAUGCAAUAAAGAAACAGAUGUUACAAUAUUGGAUAAUCAGAGACAGUUGUCACCUAUUCAAAAUAAGAAGAGGAAGUUUUCCCCAAUUGUUUGGGACAGAGAUGAUAAGGAUGCCACUCGAUCAGUCAGAAGCACAAAAGUGUUGGAAAGUAGUAACUUGCCGCCACUACCACCACCUCCUCCUUUGCCUGUUCCCCUUAAGUCUAACUCUAUACAUGAUGAUGUGGAACAGACUUCACUGGUUCAAGACAAUGGUGUUCAUGUUUCUGGGGGCCCACCUUCAGACAUUGAUUCACUGCCUUACGUGUCAGAAUUGCCUGGCAUGAUAGAUUCUUCAUUACCCAAAGAAGAAGACAGGGUCAAUGACAUGAUAGCAGAGACAAAUGAUGAAAAUGACUAUGUGCCACGGACUAUAACAUCAUCCCGAUGGGCAAAUGAUGCUGAGUCGCCAUCUGACGAAGGUGAGAUUUCUGAUUAUGAAGACAGCUGGAAGACGAAGAGGAAGUCUGAAUCUGAAUCAGCUGAAGCAAAAGUAGGAAGGAAGUCAAUUAGUCCUGAGCUUGGAGAAUGUUCUGAAGGAACAAAGGUAUGGUCAUUGGGUUCAGAUGAACGUGUAAGGUCUUCCAGUAGAGAUAGUUACAAUGACACCAUUGAUAAGAAUGGCUACAUGGAAGUAGAUGAUGAUCAAAAUAUUGUUUUUAGUGAUGCUAGCCAUUCUGGCACCGAAUCAGAUGAUGAUGUUGGCUCUCAUGGCACACCAGAGCAAGUCCAUCCUCCACAGAGGAGCUUCAAUAUGCUUCAUGGUUGCAGAAGUGUUGAUGAGUUUGAACGACUGAAUAGGAUUGAUGAAGGAACAUAUGGGAUUGUUUUCAGAGCCAAGGACAAGAAAACUGGAGAAGUUGUGGCUCUGAAGAAGGUCAAGAUGGAUAGGGAGAGAGAAGGGUUUCCUUUGACUUCUCUUAGAGAAAUAAAUAUUCUUCUCUCUAUUCAUCACCCAUCCAUUGUGGAUGUUAAAGAAGUUGUUGUAGGGAGCAACCUUGACAGUAUAUAUAUGGUCAUGGAGUACAUGGAACAUGACCUCAAAGGAUUGAUGGAGACAAUGAAACAACCUUAUAGUCAAAGUGAGGUUAAAUGCCUGAUGCUUCAGCUUUUAGAGGGGAUCAAGUAUCUUCAUGAUAAUUGGGUUCUGCACCGUGAUCUGAAAACUUCAAAUCUUCUUUUGAAUAACUGUGGUGAUUUGAAGAUCUGUGACUUUGGACUGGCCCGUCAAUAUGGAAGUCCUCUGAAACCAUAUACUUCCCUGGUCGUGACUUUGUGGUACAGGGCACCAGAACUUCUAUUAGGAGCAAAACAAUACUCCACGGCAAUUGAUAUGUGGUCGUUAGGGUGUAUUAUGGCUGAGCUACUGUCAAAAGAACCUUUGUUCAAUGGGAAGUCAGAGGUUGAGCAGCUUGACAAGAUAUUCAAGAUUCUUGGAACUCCCAAUGAGACAAUAUGGCCUGGGCUUUCUGACCUCCCUGGUGCGAAGGUGAACUUCGCCAAGCACAAGUACAACCUUUUGCGCAAGAAAUUUCCUGCGACAUCUUUUACAGGGACACCUGUACUAUCUGAUGCUGGAUUUGACCUUUUGAACAAGCUUCUAACUUAUGACCCCGAGAAGAGGAUAACUGCUGAUGCUGCUCUCAACCAUGAAUGGUUUCGUGAAGUCCCGUUACCUAAGUCUAAGGAAUUUAUGCCUACUUUUCCUGCUCAACAUGCACAAGACAGGCGCAUGAGAAGAGUAAUGAAGAGUCCAGACCCACUAGAGGAGCUGAAGAGGAAGGAAAAACAAGGGGAACUAGGAACUGGUGGUUUAUUUGGCCAAUAGCUUCCAUUUUAUUAUUAGUUUGGGUUCUGCCAUAGACGGACAUGAUUGAGGUGAGAGCAAAAAGGGAGUUGCAAACAUUGAUUGUGAGACUAUCACUCGUGCUGUUUUUUAUCAGGCACAUGAUCCAGUAGUGGGGAAACUGUCUGGCCUGUACUUGUCAAUCCUAUGUUGCAGGCUGGAUUUUCUUAUUGGGGUUGGCUGACAAUUUGGAUCCAGCUUUGGUGCUUACCCAAAAAGAGGUGGUGAUGUAAAGUGGAUGGGAGAUUCUUAGCUUUUCAUUGCCGAAGAAUUUGACCCCAAGUUUACCACUCUGGAGUAUUCAAGCAAGCAUGCCCGUGAAUUCAGUUACGUAGGUUGGCCCUCUAAAAUGUCAAAAUUAUUUUCUGUCAUACGCUUGUACUGAAGCUCUAGAGGUACACAACAACUUUAUUAUUCUAUUAAAUUAUCUAAGCUACUAUUAUGCACCUUGGCGGUUCUAUGAUUUAUCCUUACCGACACCAGCAGAAAAAAGUAUCCUUCCAGCAAUUUAAUUUUAAGCAGUCAAUUUGCCUGUGACUGAUGAGCAUAAAUACUAUUUAUUGUUUCUUUUCUCCAGCAUAGCUGUUAGUAGGAAAGAUCAUAUGUUUUGCAGCUAGUUCUUAUCAGCUUUGAUUGUUAACACCAUUUUCUUUUUGGUUAUGGUUAUAGACUCUAAUACAUUUUUAUUCAUGUCGAUGACUGAAUCUGUGAUUGAGUUUAUUUAGCAGCCGGGUUGGGUUAACUUGGAGGAAGUUGUUUCUGAUUACCAUUAACCUAUUGGAUUGUACUUUUCAUUAACAGUGGCCAUACAUGCCUAUUGUGGCAGGUAUUCUAGUCCUCUCUAAGUUGGGGAUGCAGGUAUCAAGGUUUUGUGCUUUACAGAUAAGCCAGUACUAACUUGUUAUCGAUUAAUCUAGUUCCUGUGUCUGUGUUGUCCGGAUAAAUUAUUAUGGAUAUGCUUUUGCCACUUAACAAUGUUGACCAUAUAGUUACUAAGUUCUUAACCUUUGAACAUCUGAAUUGUCAUCCACCCUAAACACAUGAUUCAUCAGGUAGUAAAAUCAUAUAUCACGUAACAAGGUAAAUAAUGUCUUCUUUCCAAUGUUUAGUUGCUCUGAACUGCAUAGGAAUAGAUCACUUUUAUGUGCUUGAUAUACAUAGUGCAGAAGGGAACUAAUUUUAGAGCUAUUGGGUUCCUGCUGAGUUAAAUGGAUUGCUAAUAAUCGCAGUAUUUAUUGUCGACAAGUAAAAAGUUACACAGGCUUAUAAACCAAAGGUGAGGCGAUGAACUCUUCAUCCUGCUUGUCAGUUGGUAACGGAAGUUUGGUCUACUUUUUGAUAACUUGACCUUUGUACAGCUAUUUGUAGUCAUUUCACAUUUAUGUGACAAAAGUUCACCGGUGGGAGAGACUGAACUUGAAAGAAGUAGCAGAUUAUGCUGCAAGCUGGGGGACUGUAGUGGCUGUUUUUCGUGACCUUUUACUCCUUUCUCUCGGUGUUGCGUCUCUCUCCCUCUCUCUCUUUUUGUUUCUUCUAUACCAAUAUUGGUUCUCGAUGAAACUGGAUUCUCUGCUUUUUUAUAUGAUAAUUGUUGGAACUUAAUUUGUCAAUUGAUAAUACUCAACAACGAGCAAUUUGAAAUUGAUUUCGUCA